ensembl:snRNA U6 U6 spliceosomal RNA
GUGGUCCCUUUAGUAGCACAAAUACUAAAAUUGGAAUGACACAAACAAGAGAGCAGGGCCCUUGAGAAAGGACUAUGGGCAAAUUUGUGGAGCAUUCCUUAUUAAG